rnacentral:rRNA from 1 species
GACGAACGCUGGCGGCGUGCCUAAUACAUGCAAGUAGAACGCUGAAGGAGGAGCUUGCUUCUCUGGAUGAGUUGCGAACGGGUGAGUAACGCGUAGGUAACCUGCCUGGUAGCGGGGGAUAACUAUUGGAAACGAUAGCUAAUACCGCAUAAUAGUAGAUGUUGCAUGACAUUUGCUUAAAAGGUGCAAUUGCAUCACUACCAGAUGGACCUGCGUUGUAUUAGCUAGUUGGUGGGGUAACGGCUCACCAAGGCGACGAUACAUAGCCGACCUGAGAGGGUGAUCGGCCACACUGGGACUGAGACACGGCCCAGACUCCUACGGGAGGAAGCAGUAGGGAAUCUUCGGCAAUGGACGGAAGCCUGACCGAGCAACGCCGCGUGAGUGAAGAAGGUUUUCGGAUCGUAAAGCUCUGUUGUAAGAGAAGAACGAGUGUGAGAGUGGAAAGUUCACACUGUGACGGUAUCUUACCAGAAAGGGACGGCUAACUACGUG